UACGUAGGGGGCAAGCGUUGUCCGGAUUCAUUGGGCGUAAAGAGCGUGUAGGCGGCCAGGUAGGUCGGUUGUGAAAACUGGAGGCUCAACCUUCAGAGGUCGACCGAAACCAUCUGGCUAGAGUCCGGGAGAGGAGAGUGGAAUUCCUGGUGUAGCGGUGAAAUGCGCAGAUAUCAGGAAGAACACCCGUGGCGAAAGCGGCUCUCUGGAACGGUACUGACGCUGAGACGCGAAAGCAUGGGGAGCGAACAGG
rnacentral:rRNA from 1 species